UACAGGGGGGUGCAAACGUUGCUCGGAAUCAUUGGGCGUAAAAGCGCACGUAGGCGGUUCGUUAUGUCGGAUGUGAAAGCCCUUGGCUUAACCGAGGAAGUGCAUCCGAAACUGGCGAGCUAGAGUACGAAAGAGGAUCGCGGAAUUCCCGGUGUAGAGGUGAAAUUCGUAGAUAUCGGGAGGAACACCGGUGGCGAAGGCGGCGAUCUGGGUCGAUACUGACGCUGAGGUGCGAAAGCGUGGGGAGCAAACAGG
rnacentral:rRNA from 1 species